GAUGAACGCUGGCGGCGUGCCUAAUACAUGCAAGUCGAGCGAACGGACGAGAAGCUUGCUUCUCUGAUGUUAGCGGCGGACGGGUGAGUAACACGUGGAUAACCUACCUAUAAGACUGGGAUAACUUCGGGAAACCGUAGCUAAUACCGGAUAAUAUUUUGAACCGCAUGGUUCAAAAGUGAAAGACGGUCUUGCUGUCACUUAUAGAUGGAUCCGCGCUGCAUUAGCUAGUUGGUAAGGUAACGGCUUACCAAGGCAACGAUGCAUAUCCGACCUGAGAGGGUGAUCGGCCACACUGGAACUGAGACACGGUCCAGACUCCUACGGGAGGCAGCAGUAGGCAAUCUUCCGCAAUGGGCGAAAACCUGACGGAGCAACGCCACGUGAGUGAUGAAAAUCUUCGGAUCGUAAAACUCUGUUAUUGGGGAAGAACAUAUGUGUAAGUAACUGUGCACAUCUUGACGGUACCUAAUCAGAAAGCCACGGCUAACUACGUG
rnacentral:rRNA from 1 species